rnacentral:lncRNA from 13 species
AGCCACAGCAGCAAGAGCGUAUUCACGUGAGGGUCUCCUCCCCUCCCCACUGCAACUCUGACCACAACAGAGCAUCGACGGAUCAUCCGUUUCAUUUGUUUUCCUCCUUGGAAUUUCAAAGCAAGAAAGCACAAUCAAGGCUGGGAACAUUCUCUCCAUAAAAGCAGCCAGGCAGAGCUGGAGUGCAAUGGAGUGAUCUCGGCUCACCACUACUUCCACCUCCCGGACUCAAGCAAUUCUCCUGCCUCAGCCUCUCAGGUACAGAGCCUGUGUGACCGUAGAGCUUCUAUGUCUACAAGCCGGCCUCACACACAGCUGACAUCCUGCCAGGAGACCGCUACAUUCCAGGGUUCCAAGAGAGGAUAUUAAUACAUGAACUAUGAACAGAGAGAAUCAGAAUGGCAGAUAGAGGAGCAUCUGAGCAAAGAAAGGAGAAAGGAAGAAAAGAGAGUCAGCAUGCCUUACAAAAUUAUUAAAACAUGGAAAAAGAAGUAUCUGGUACAGCAAAAUCCAUCAAAUAAGCACACGCAGGUCACAAAAGCGUGGAGGGGCUCGUUCUCCUGCAAUUCAGGAAUGAGGGAAAAGUAUCAGGAAAAGAAAAUACAGAAAAGGCCAACUGCUAGUGCAGAUGAUGAAAAUGAGGAAAAAGUGAGACAAGCUAAGGCACGUCGGUUUCUUCGCCAGAAUAUAAAAGUGAGUAAACUACAAAGAGAAAUGAAUUCAGCAGUGGUUCAGCUCUGAGGAAUGAACAAGUUCACCAAUUUCUCCCUCCAGACAUGAGAAAAAGACAUUUGUGAAACUGUUGUAAAUGAUCCAGCCAGUGAAAAAAUUGCUCAUCAAGUGAGAGAUAAGACUUAAGCAAAAACUGAAAAGGGGGUUAAUGUGUGGAGUGAGAACAUGCACAGGAAACACACGACUUAUGAUGGAAACGGGGCUCGGCAGGAAGCCCAGAUCCUGUACAAACAUUUCCACAAAGCAGCAGAUGGGAAGACUCCAGAGUGGCUCCUCAACCAACCUUUGCUGUGAGUGCAAUGGAUUGGAAAACUUGAAGAAGCAUUUCUUUUUCUUGGAUGAUGCAAAGUAACAAGGAGAAAUGGCACCCAUAAACCUCUUGGUUGAUGUCCAGCUUUCUUCUGCACUCAGAAGGAUCCUCGAGAGGAAUGUGGUGGACCAGAGGAAGAGGGAAACACUACUUUAGACACCACUGUUGGGGCCAAAGUGUCUUCUGAACACAGGUAUCCAGAAGGAAAGCCCACUCUAAGAUUAAAGGCAGCCAAACACAGGGUCUUCUAGACUCUGGGAACACGGUGGGCUUUAAGGUUGAGCCAAGUUUGCAGAACCAUUCCUUAACCCCCAGACAAUUAGGAGCAAGGAUAAGAACUUCAUAGCCAUAUAGUAACAAUGUAGGAAAAUGACGUCGGGAUCAUGGCAUGUUUCCUUUUGCCCAGGACAAGUAUUUUGUCCAAGUGGAAUUUGGAUUUCUAAUGGCUUCAAGCCCCUUAUCUCCUGCUGUAGCUGGGGAUCCCAAAAUCACCCUGUUAAGAGGUGGGUGGGCCGUGCUUCAAACACAGAUCAAUUUGACUCCAAAGUGUAGGCCCUUUUGACUCUUCUCUACCAACUUUCAGAAGUUGGUCAGGCGAACUUAUUUCCCAAAAAUAUGGAAUUGGGGCUAAGAUUUACUCAAAGGUCUAGAGUUGUCUUCUGGUCCCUCAGCCCACCCUGCCCUCUACUCUACUGCUGG